GACGAACGCUGGCGGCGUGCUUAACACAUGCAAGUCGAACGAUGAAGCUAGAGCUUGCUCUGGUGAAUUAGUGGCGAACGGGUGAGUAACACGUGAGUAACCUGCCCAGAACUCUGGGAUAACUGCUGGAAACGGUAGCUAAUACUGGAUACGACCUACGAAGGCAUCUUCAGUAGGUGGAAAGAAUUUCGGUUCGGGAUGGACUCGCGGCCUAGCAGCUUGUUGGUGAGGUAAUGGCUCACCAAGGCGACGACGGGUAGCCGGCCUGAGAGGGUGACCGGCCACACUGGGACUGAGACACGGCCCAGACUCCUACGGGAGGCAGCAGUGGGGAAUAUUGCACAAUGGGCGCAAGCCUGAUGCAGCAACGCCGCGUGAGGGAUGACGGCCUUCGGGUUGUAAACCUCUUUUAGUAGGGAAGAAGCGAAAGUGACGGUACCUGCAGAAAAAGCACCGGCUAACUACGUGCCAGCCGCCGCAGUAA
rnacentral:rRNA from 1 species